rnacentral:rRNA from 1 species
AUUGAACGCUGGCGGCAGGCCUAACACAUGCAAGUCGAGCGGUAGAGAGAAGCUUGCUUCUCUUGAGAGCGGCGGACGGGUGAGUAAUGCCUAGGAAUCUGCCUGGUAGUGGGGGAUAACGUUCGGAAACGGACGCUAAUACCGCAUACGUCCUACGGGAGAAAGCAGGGGACCUUCGGGCCUUGCGCUAUUAGAUGAGCCUAGGUCGGAUUAGUUAGUUGGUGAGGUAAUGGCUCACCAAGACCGCGAUCCGUAACUGGUCUGAGAGGAUGAUCAGUCACACUGGAACUGAGACACGGUCCAGACUCCUACGGGAGGCAGCAGUGGGGAAUAUUGGACAAUGGGGGGAACCCUGAUCCAGCCAUGCCGCGUGUGUGAAGAAGGUCUUAGGAUUGUAAAGCACUUUAAGUUGGGAGGAAGAGCAGUUAACUAAUAUUUGACUGUUUUGACGUUACCGACAGAAUAAGCACCGGCUAACUUCGUGCCAGCCGCCGCAGUAAAAC